AUACGGAGGAUCCGAGCGUUAUCCGGAUUUAUUGGGUUUAAAGGGUGCGUAGGCGGGUAGAUUAAGUCGGUGGUGAAAUUUUGCAGCUCAACUGUAAAAGUGCCAUUGAUACUGGUUUCCUUGAGUGUGGAUGAAGUAGGCGGAAUUUGUGGUGUAGCGGUGAAAUGCAUAGAUAUCACGAGGAACUCCGAUUGCGCAGGCAGCUUACUAAACCCUAACUGACGCUCAGGCACGAAGGCGUGGGGAUC
rnacentral:rRNA from 1 species